AUCUCCACGACGAAGCCCUUUCUGGCAAGCUAAACCUCUCUCCGCCUGGUCUACCUUUCUAGAAUCACACAGAACGCAGUAAGAAAAAUGUGCACGCUAAGUUGCUUCAGUCGUGUCAAACUCUUUGUGACCCCUUGGACUAUGGCCCACCAGGCUCCUCUGUCCUCGGGAUUCUCCAGUGCUCAGCUCUGCUCAUGACAGACUGUGAUGCUGAAAAAAUGAUGAGGGAAGAACCGGGAGGAGCUGGGUGAUUGAAGGGAUGAAUGCGCUCCUUGGAGACAAGCCCCGGCAGAGCGACCCAGGACGUUUGGGUGAGGACUCAGGUUAGAAAAAGAACACUAGAGUCACCAGUGCCCAGAUGAAGAGAGAAGAGAGAAGGCUGCCGUUUCCUUAGAGGAGCCGUGCAGCCCCCACCCCAUGCAUCCUCCUGCUUCUACCCAGGAGGGAACCACGACCCUGACCCUGAGAGGGCUUUCACGUUUCUACACACAAUCCAGAGUCAGAUCCCGGAGUCCCAAGCGACAGACCCAGCUGAGACUGUAUGAAUUCUCUAGGUUAAUUAGGGGAGGGCUGACAUCUUUAAAGCAUGGAGUCUUCAGUCCGUGUACACUGUCUAUGUCUGUCCUCCGUUCAUGCUCAAUACAGAUCUGUAUUGAAGUCUCAUAAAUAUUUGGUUAUUUUCC
ensembl:lncRNA